rnacentral:rRNA from 1 species
CCUACGGGAGGCAGCAGUGGGGAAUAUUGCACAAUGGGGGAAACCCUGAUGCAGCGACGCCGCGUGAGUGAAGAAGUAUUUCGGUAUGUAAAGCUCUAUCAGCAGGGAAGAAAAUGACGGUACCUGAUUAUGAAUCCCCGGCUACCUACGUUCCAGCAGCCGCGGUACUACGUAGGGGGCAAGCGUUAUCCGGAUUUACUGGGUGUAAAGGGAGCGUAGACGGCAGCACAAGUCUGGAGUGAAAUGCCGGGGCUUAACCCCGGAACUGCUUUGGAAACUGUGCAGCUAGAGUGCAGGAGAGGUAAGUGGAAUUCCUAGUGUAGCGGUGAAAUGCGUAGAUAUUAGGAGGAACACCAGUGGCGAAGGCGGCUUACUGGACUGUAACUGACGUUGAGGCUCGAAAGCGUGGGGAGCAAACAGGAUUAGAUACCCUAGUAGUC